ACAUCUUCUCAUGUAAGGUCUCUCUGCAUUCACCCUUGCUGACCAGAAAUAGCCUAAACUUGAAUCUCACGUGGAGGAGGACCAGUCACAUAUCACCCACUCAUUACCUGCCCUGAGGAGGUCCCGCAGAAAUCAGGAGUCUUUCAGGAGAGCACCUAGACUAUUCCAAAGCUAGGUUUUAAAUACCAUGUGCUUAGAGUUAUACCAGUCAGCUUAAGCUGAACUAUGCUGCAGUAACAAAUAA